UGGGUCAACUGUUAAUCACAGACCUCAUGGUUUAUUACUAUAAUACUGAUGGGUCAACUGUUAAUCACAGACCUCAUGGUUUAUUACUAUAAUACUGAUGGGUCAACUGUUAAUCACAGACCUCAUGGUUUAUUACUAUAAUACUGAUGGGUCAACUGUUAAUCACAGACCUCAUGGUUUAUUACUAUAAUACUGAUGGGUCAACUGUUAAUCACAGACCUCAUGGUUUAUUACUAUAAUACUGAUGGGUCAACUGUUAAUCACAGACCUCAUGGUUUAUUACUAUAAUACUGAUGGGUCAACUGUUAAUCACAGACCUCAUGGUUUAUUACUAUAAUACUGAUGGGUCGACUAUUAAUCACAGACCUCAUGGUUUAUUACUAUAAUACUGAUGGGUCAACUGUUAAUCACAGACCUCAUGGUUUAUUACUAUAAUACUGAUGGGUCAACUGUUAAUCACAGACCUCAUGGUUUUUAUACAUUUGUUUUCUUUUGUCUACAGAAAAGAAGAAUCAAACAAUAUCUGAAAAAAUCAGAGAUUUUUUCUGGUAAGUUCCUGUCUGUCUUUUGUCGUAUAUUGUAGCUUCAACCUGUCAGCUUCUAUUGUAGCUUCAACCUGUCAGCUUCUAUUGUAGCUUCAACCUGUCAGCUUCUAUUGUAGCUUCAACCUGUCAGCUUCUAUUGUAGCUUCAACCUGUCAGCUUCUAUCGUAGCUUCAACCUGUCAGCUUCUAUCGUCGCUUCAACCUGUCAGCUUCUAUCGUAGCUUCAACCUGUCAGCCUCUAUCGUAGCUUCAACCUGUCAGCUUCUAUUGUAGCUUCAACCUGUCAGCUUCUAUCGUAGCUUCAACCUGUCAGCUUCUAUUGUAGCUUCAACCUGUCAGCUUCUAUUGUAGCUUCAACCUGUCAGCUUCUAUUGUAGCUUCAACCUGUCAGCUUCUAUCGUAGCUUCAACCUGUCAGCUUCUAUCGUAGCUUCAACCUGUCAGCUUCUAUUGUAGCUUCAACCUGUCAGCUUCUAUUGUAGCUUCAACCUGUCAGCUACAACCUGUCAGCUUCUAUUGUAGCUUCAACCUGUCAGCUUCUUUUGUAGCUUCAACCUGUCAGCUUCUUUUGUAGCUUCAACCUGUCAGCUUCUGUUUUAAAUCUUCAGGAGUUUGGUGUUGUAUUUGCUAUGAAUUCCUGAAUCUUUAGGGUUGUCAAUAAUUUAGACCUCUACCCUUUUUGAGAAAAUAAAUAUUACUUACAACAAAAUAUUUUAA